CUCUCUCUUUUCUCUCAAUCUCUCUCUCGAUGUUCAUCUACAGAAGAAAAAAAUCGUGAAUCAAGAAUCAAUGUUUAUCAAAUCAUUCACUUAACUUUCAACCGGGUUAAUCGAUGUAGUUUAUCUAAGAUCAGUUAUCUCCAUGAGUAGAUCGGCUUCAGGUUUCAUCUUAGGCAUUAGAAAAGUCUAAAACACACGAGUUUGAAAGAAGGGUUCAACCUCGAUGAAGACAGCUAGAUAAAAUGGUGCAUGGUUGGUCUUUGAUUGAGUCGGAGAAACAGAGUAUGGAAGAUGUCGGUGGAUAUGCAGAUGGAGCUAGAAAGAUCUAGUUUUGGAAAAGGUUGAGCUUCUGGUUCAGAGCAGAAGUGUAUGGGAUGUUGAAAAGAGAAGACGAACGGAGAACAAACAAAUAUGAUUCGAUAUAUUAAUAUUCAGAAUAUACAUAUAAAGCUUGGACAUCUCGGACAGAGUCAUGGUGAAGGAGACAGAAGGACCGGGGAGAAAGUCAUAAAUAGAACAUCUCGGACAGAGUCAUGGUGAAGGAGACAGAGAGACGAGAUAUAACAAAGGGAAGGCACACUAAUCAGUUAGUUAACAUAAGUAGGAAAAGUAGAUCUUCAUUUAGCAGAAUCAACAUAUGCUGAUAUUGUCGGUUUAUGGAUUUUGUCGCAUGAUAUUAGAGAUGGAGAGAAGCAAGUACCAGUUAUGAAGAAGCAAAAGAAGACUUCAAUGCUUACAGGACAACACAGUUAUAAUACGUGUCAAAUCCGAGUUGGAACUCUUCUCUCUUGCGAGUCAUGGCUUAAGAAUGAGGUUGUAGAAUUGUUCCUUGCAGGACAAAAAAGAUUAAAGUCUUGUGGGAAGAAUGAACUUGGUUAUGCUGAGAUAUGAAGUCAUAUUGUAAAGACAAUAUGAACAGAUGUGAUGAGAAACAAAGAUGGAACAGAUUCGGCCAUUUCUUUAGACAGGUUCACUCUACUUCUCACGGAGUUAUUUUGGAAAAAAUCUUGGUUAUACUUCGACGUCGGUUUAAGCCCAACGUUCCGGUUUGAUCUCAGCAUCGACGUCGGUUUAAUUUAAGUAUAAAACACAGUGUUUUAACACCAGUGGCAUUCCAUUGUAAUAUUUGUGCAAC